GAUGAACGCUGGCGGCGUGCUUAACACAUGCAAGUCGAACAAUGAAGCCCAGCUUGCUGGGUGGAUUAGUGGCGAACGGGUGAGUAACACGUGAGUAACCUGCCCUUAACUCUGGGAUAAGCCUGGGAAACUGGGUCUAAUACCGGAUAGGAGCGUCCACCGCAUGGUGGGUGUUGGAAAGAUUUAUCGGUUUUGGAUGGACUCGCGGCCUAUCAGCUUGUUGGUGAGGUAAUGGCUCACCAAGGCGACGACGGGUAGCCGGCCUGAGAGGGUGACCGGCCACACUGGGACUGAGACACGGCCCAGACUCCUACGGGAGGCAGCAGUGGGGAAUAUUGCACAAUGGGCGAAAGCCUGAUGCAGCGACGCCGCGUGAGGGAUGACGGCCUUCGGGUUGUAAACCUCUUUCAGUAGGGAAGAAGCGAAAGUGACGGUACCUGCAGAAGAAGCACCGGCUAACUACGUG
rnacentral:rRNA from 1 species